AACAUGCAAGUCGAGCGAAUGGAUUAAGAGCUUGCUCUUAUGAAGUUAGCGGCGGACGGGUGAGUAACACGUGGGUAACCUGCCCAUAAGACUGGGAUAACUCCGGGAAACCGGGGCUAAUACCGGAUAACAUUUUGAACCGCAUGGUUCGAAAUUGAAAGGCGGCUUCGGCUGUCACUUAUGGAUGGACCCGCGUCGCAUUAGCUAGUUGGUGAGGUAACGGCUCACCAAGGCAACGAUGCGUAGCCGACCUGAGAGGGUGAUCGGCCACACUGGGACUGAGACACGGCCCAGACUCCUACGGGAGGCAGCAGUAGGGAAUCUUCCGCAAUGGACGAAAGUCUGACGGAGCAACGCCGCGUGAGUGAUGAAGGCUUUCGGGUCGUAAAACUCUGUUGUUAGGGAAGAACAAGUGCUAGUUGAAUAAGCUGGCACCUUGACGGUACCUAACCAGAAAGCCACGGCUAACUACGUGCCAGCAGCCGCGGUAAUACGUAGGUGGCAAGCGUUAUCCGGAAUUAUUGGGCGUAAAGCGCGCGCAGGUGGUUUCUUAAGUCUGAUGUGAAAGCCCACGGCUCAACCGUGGAGGGUCAUUGGAAACUGGGAGACUUGAGUGCAGAAGAGGAAAGUGGAAUUCCAUGUGUAGCGGUGAAAUGCGUAGAGAUAUGGAGGAACACCAGUGGCGAAGGCGACUUUCUGGUCUGGUACUGACACUGAGGCGCGAAAGCGUGGGGAGCCAAC
rnacentral:rRNA from 1 species